CUCGAGACGGCGGGGUAGAGGCCCGCCGCGGUAACGACGGGUAACGGGGAAUCAGGGUUCGAUUCCGGAGAGGGAGCCCGAGAAACGGCUACCACUUCCAAGGAAGGCAGCAGGCGCGCAACUUACCCUAAUCUCGAUUCGAGGAGGUAGUGACAAGAAAUACCGAUGCGGGACCCUACGGGUGCCGCGUUCGGAAUGAGUACGAUUCGAACCACCUAACGAGGAACGAUCGGAGGGCAAGUCUGGUGCCAGCAGCCGCGGUAAUUCCAGCUCCAAUAGCGUACGUUAAAGUUGCUGCAGUUAAAAAGCUCGUAGUUGAACGUUCGGGUUCCGCGGGACGGGCCGCCCCGCGAGGGACGGCGCCGCCCCGGGGCUCGUGAUAUCUCAUCUCGCCGCCCGUCGCGAGGCGGACGGAGGGAUGGAUGAGGUUACCUGG
rnacentral:rRNA from 1 species